UCACCGUCGCCCUCUCUCCUCCAUCUUCUUCUUCUUGCUACUCGAGAUCUUAGAUCUGGUUGGACGCCAAGUAGAAGCAGCAGCCAACGUCACCCGGAGCCGUCGCACGCCUCCGCCUGUCCCCAUUCGCCGCUGCCGUGCGUCGUCGUUGCUGCCCGUCCGCUCGCGCUCGCCCGCGCUUGGCCGACGCCCAGCCGCCUCCGCCCCUGUUCGCGCGUUCCACGAGCUGCCGGAGCUCGUCUCCGCCGCCGAAGGGUCGCCGGAGCUGCCGCCAAUCACCACCUGAGCUGCCGCCGUCCAUCUCCGCCGGUUUUUGCGCCUCACCAGCCACCAGAUCCGCUCCUUCUCGGCCCCAAACAGAAGCUGGAAAAAUGGGUAUGGCAGUGGACAUUUGACCCGUUUUGGCCGCCUUCCCGAGCCCGGAUGCUCGGCCCGCCUUGAGGAAAGUCAAUCCUUGCGUCGUCCUCGUCGUUUUGGUCCGCUUGGCUCGCUAAUCCGGUCCCUAGAUGGCGGUCGUGGAGGACCUGAAGCCCUAAGUCUAGAAAGGUGGAGACUGAAGUAUCGGUGAACGUGUCCUGCUAGUUGGUUUUAGGAUGGUUCCCCUUUUGUCGAGCUGGUCUAUUUUGUAGACAGUCCAGAGUUAUAUUUAAACCUAUGUGUUUGUAAAUGAGUGUUUGGUAUUGUGA